rnacentral:rRNA from 1 species
AGAGUUUGAUCCUGGCUCAGGAUUAACGCUAGCGGAGGCCUAAUACAUGCAAGGCGAGGGCGCAGCAAUGUGACCGCCGUACGGGUGCGUAACGCGUAUGCAACCUACCCAUCACAGGGGGACAGCCCAUGGAAACGUGGAUUAAUACCGCAUAAAGCAGGGGCACCGCAUGGUGAUACUGCUAAAGAUUUAUCGGUGAUGGAUGGGCAUGCGUCUGAUUAGCUAGUUGGUAAGGUAACGGCUUACCAAGGCUACGAUCAGUAGGGGAGCUGAGAGGUUUUCCCCCCACACGGGCACUGAGAUACGGGCCCGACUCCUACGGGAGGCAGCAGUAGGGAAUAUUGGGCAAUGGGUGCAAGCCUGACCCAGCCAUCCCGCGUGCCGGAUGAAGGCCCUCUGGGUCGUAAACGGCUUUUGACGGGGAAGAACCGACAGGAUGCGUCCUGUUUUGACGGUACCCGUUGAAUAAGCACCGGCUAACUCCGUG